rnacentral:rRNA from 1 species
GAUGAACGCUGGCGGCGUGCCUAAUACAUGCAAGUCGAGCGAACAGACGAGGAGCUUGCUCCUCUGACGUUAGCGGCGGACGGGUGAGUAACACGUGGAUAACCUACCUAUAAGACUGGGAUAACUUCGGGAAACCGGAGCUAAUACCGGAUAAUAUAUUGAACCGCAUGGUUCAAUAGUGAAAGACGGUUUUGCUGUCACUUAUAGAUGGAUCCGCGCCGCAUUAGCUAGUUGGUAAGGUAACGGCUUACCAAGGCAACGAUGCGUAGCCGACCUGAGAGGGUGAUCGGCCACACUGGAACUGAGACACGGUCCAGACUCCUACGGGAGGCAGCAGUAGGGAGUCUUCCGCAAUGGGCGAAAGCCUGACGGAGCAACGCCGCGUGAGUGAUGAAGGUCUUCGGAUCGUAAAACUCUGUUAUUAGGGAAGAACAAAUGUGUAAGUAACUAUGCACGUCUUGACGGUACCUAAUCAGAAAGCCACGGCUAACUACGU